rnacentral:tRNA from 1 species
GGCCCGCUAGCUCAAUGGCAGAGCAGGGGUCUCUUAAACCCUUGGUUAUAGGUUCAAGUCCUAUGCGGGUCACCU